rnacentral:rRNA from 1 species
AUUGAACGCUGGCGGCAGGCUUAACACAUGCAAGUCGAGCGGGGUGAUGGUGCUUGCACUAUCACUUAGUGGCGGACGGGUGAGUAAUGCUUAGGAAUCUGCCUAUUAGUGGGGGACAACAUCUCGAAAGGGAUGCUAAUACCGCAUACGUCCUACGGGAGAAAGCAGGGGAUCACUUGUGACCUUGCGCUAAUAGAUGAGCCUAAGUCGGAUUAGCUAGUUGGUGGGGUAAAGGCCUACCAAGGCGACGAUCUGUAGCGGGUCUGAGAGGAUGAUCCGCCACACUGGGACUGAGACACGGCCCAGACUCCUACGGGAGGCAGCAGUGGGGAAUAUUGGACAAUGGGGAACCCUGAUCCAGCCAUGCCGCGUGUGUGAAGAAGGCCUUAUGGUUGUAAAGCACUUUAAGCGAGGAGGAGGCUCUUUUGGUUAAUACCCAAGAUGAGUGGACGUUACUCGCAGAAUAAGCACCGGCUAACUCUGUGCCAGCCGCCGCAGUAA